rnacentral:tRNA from 1 species
CGACGGUGUAGCUCAGCCAGGCCGGGGCUCCGGUCUCCGCGAGGACGGUGAGCAGGGCCUCGGCCUCGUCCGGGUCGGGGACGGUCUCC